rnacentral:rRNA from 1 species
GAUGAACGCUGGCGGCGUGCCUAAUACAUGCAAGUCGAGCGAACAGAUAAGGAGCUUGCACCAUUGACGUUAGCGGCGGACGGGUGAGUAACACGUGGGUAACCUACCUUUAAGCCUGGAAUAACUCCGGGAAACCAGGGCUAAUGCCGGAUAACAUUUAUAAACGCAUGGUUCUAAAGUGAAAGAUGGUUUUGCUAUCACUUAAAAAUGGACCCCCGUCGAAUUAGUUAGUUGGUAAGGUAAGGGCUUACAAAGGCAACGAUACGUAGCCGACCUGAGAGGGUGACAGGCCACAUUGGAACUGAGACACGGCCCAGACUCCUACGGGAGGCAGCAGUAGGGAAUCUUCGGCAAUGGACGAAAGCCUGACGGAGCAACGCCGCGUGAGUGAUGAAGGUCUUCGGAUCGUAAAACUCUGUUAUUAGGGAAGAACAAUGGUGUAAGUAACUGGGCACGUCUGGAAGGUACCUAAUCAGAAAGCCACGGCUAACUUCGUG